AGCUCCAAUAGCGUAUCUUAAAGUUGCUGCAGUUAAAAAGCUCGUAGUUGGAUCUCGGGGCCGGGCAGACGGUCCGCCGAAAGGCGUGCCACCGACUGCUCCCGGCCCCUGCCCUCGGCGCCCCCUCGAUGCUCUUGGUUGAGUGUCCCGCUGGGGUUCGAAGCGUUUACUUUGAAAAAAUUAGAGUGUUCAAAGCAGGCCCGGUUGCACGAAUACUGCAGCUAGGAAUAAUGGAAUAGGACUCCGGUUCUAUUUUGUGGGUUUUCUCAAUGGACUGGGGCCAUGAUUAAGAGGGACGGCCGGGGGCAUUCGUAUUGCGCCGCUAGAGGUGAAAUUCUUGGACCGGCGCAAGACGGACGAAAGCGAAAGCAUUUGCCAAGAAUGUUUUCAUUAAUCAAGA
rnacentral:rRNA from 1 species